GGGAACAGGAUGGCGGGCGGGUGCGGAUGAGUAAGCUGCGGGUGAGUCAAGAAGAGCCGCUAGGGAAUGAGAGGUGAGCUGGCCAGGAGGCACAGGCUGCAGAACGCGGCAGGUCACCUGUGUUCACAGACUGAGACCAGGAGCUCGCAUGAGCUUGGGAAGGACAGUUGAGUCUCGCUGGAAGCCUUUGGAGGGAGGUGGCAUCUGACCUUCAUUCGCCCUUCCGGCAGCGACAUCAGAUCAUGCCGGGUGAGGAGAGUUCUGCUCAGGAAAUCUGUCAGUAUCUCACCGAACACGAUCGGCUCCCAGGUACUGUGCUUGACACCUGUGGUUUCCCUGGAGCCCAGGACGGCAGGGCCCAGGUCAGAAACUGGACCGAUGCUAUUGUCAAGGCAACCGAGCACUGUACUCCCCGAUGGAGG